rnacentral:tRNA from 1 species
GCCCGGGUGGCGGAAUUGGCAGUCGCGCACGACUCAAAAUCGUGUGGGGUUAUCCCCGUGAGGGUUCAAGUCCCUCCCCGGGCACAA